GUGAGCUAUAAAAUGUGUGCACUGUGUAUUUUUAUGAAUACAAAGUCCCAAGCCACUUCAUAAAACGUCUCUAAGACCAUUCUGGUUGUGAAAUGAAGGUGGCAAGAUUAUAAACCAGAGGGGGGAGUGCAGAGAGUUUUCAAUCAAGGCUGCAAAGUCUGCUUUUCAUAAGGCAUCAGCCCAGAAGAGAUGGAGUCAUUUUAUCGUUCAGGUUUCAUGGUUUUACUUCUAAUCUUUAAUCUUUGUGGUCCUGGAUUCUCUGGCUAAAGUGGGAGACCAAGUAUAAGCCCUCAAGAGGGAGAUGUGUCCCAGGGCUGGAGUAACACUGAUGGGAACAAAGGGGGUUCAGCAGGGCCAGGAGAGACAGAGCAUGACAAGUCAGAGGACAGCUUUAGCAUACACUGGUCCCUCCCACCUUGCUUUGCGGCAGGGUCUCACAUUUCUGCUGCUGUGCUCCGGUCUCCAGGCUAUUUGGCCCACAAGCUUUGAAGAUGGCUUCCUGACUCCACCUCCAACUUCACCAUAAGGUUGGUGGUAGUGCAGAUGCUCACCAUCGGAUCUGUUUUGUACAGGUUCUAAGGAUCAAACUGGCAUCAUUAGGCUUGCAUGCCAAGUGCCUUACCCACCAAGCCAUAUCUCUGACCCAUGUCUUGUUUUUGAGUGUUUAUUUAAACUGCAGUGCCAAAGUAUUUACAUCAAAUUAUCGUUCUCAGAAUCUCCUAUGUGCUGGGUGUUGGAGUGACUUACAAUAUAAAUGAUGCUGGUGUGAAAAGCCUAUGCAUCCAUCUGCCUGGAAAAUGAGACUCAUUACAUAGUGAAGGAUGAUCUUGACCUUCCAAUCCUGCUGCCUCUACGUCUUCUCAGAUGGACACUCUAUUUACCACAAACCAGGGCUUCGGGCACACAAGACAAGGACUCUACCUACCAAGCUACACUCUGGCCUUUAAAUUUCAUUUUUUAAUUUUUUAAAAGAUUUAUGUUUAUUUUCCAGGAGGGAAAUAAAAUCUGGAGUGUAAAUAAAUAAAUGAUUAAAUUUUAAAAGA